rnacentral:rRNA from 1 species
ACGAACGCUGGCGGCGUGCCUAAUACAUGCAAGUAGAACGCACAGUUUAUACCGUAGCUUGCUACACCAUAGACUGUGAGUUGCGAACGGGUGAGUAACGCGUAGGUAACCUGCCUGGUAGCGGGGGAUAACUAUUGGAAACGAUAGCUAAUACCGCAUAAUAUUAAUUAUUGCAUGAUAAUUAAUUGAAAGGUGCAAUUGCACCACUACCAGAUGGACCUGCGUUGUAUUAGCUAGUAGGUGAGGUAACGGCUCACCUAGGCGACGAUACAUAGCCGACCUGAGAGGGUGAUCGGCCACGCUGGGACUGAGACACGGCCCAGACUCCUACGGGAGGCAGCAGUAGGGAAUCUUCGGCAAUGGACGAAAGUCGGACCGAGCAACGCCGCGUGAGUGAAGAAGGUUUUCGGAUCGUAAAGCUCUGUUGUAAGAGAAGAACGGGUGUGAGAGUGGAAAGUUCACACUGUGACGGUAUCUUAACAGAAAGGGACGGCUAACUACGUG